rnacentral:rRNA from 1 species
AGUGAACGCUGGCGGCGUGCUUAACACAUGCAAGUCGAACGAGAACGGGUUAUAGCUUGCUAUAAUUGUCAGCUAAGUGGCGCACGGGUGAGUAAUGUAUAGGUAAUAUGCCUCUUACUAAGGGAUAACAAAUGGAAACGUUUGCUAAUACCUUAUACUCCUUAUUAACAUAAGUUAAUAAGGGAAAGAUUUAUUGGUAAGAGAUUAGCCUGUAUUGUAUCAGUUAGUUGGUGGAGUAAUGGCUUACCAAGACUAUGACACAUAACUGGUUUGAGAGGAUGAUCAGUCACACUAGAACUGAGACACGGUCCAGACUCCUAGGGGAGGCAGCAGUGGGGAAUAUUGCACAAUGGACGAAAGUCUGAUGCAGCAACGCCGCGUCGAGGAUGACACAUUUCGGUGCGUAAACUCCUUUUAUAUGAGAAGAUAAUGACGGUAUUAUAUGAAUAAGCACCGGCUAACUCCGUGCCAGCCGCCGCAGUAA